UCCUCGCUAGUAUAUCGGUUAGUAUAUUCGCCUCUCAUUUGAGAGCUGGUCAAUUCGUUGACUUAAUCGCGAAAGAGCAGGGUUCAACUCCCUGGCGGGGAA